rnacentral:rRNA from 1 species
GACGAACGCUGUCGGCGUGCUAAACACAUGCAAGUCGAACGGAAAGGCCCUGCUUUUGUGGGGUGCUCGAGUGGCGAACGGGUGAGUAACACGUGAGUAACCUGCCCUUGACUUUGGGAUAACUUCAGGAAACUGGGGCUAAUACCGGAUAGGAGCUCCUGCUGCAUGGUGGGGGUUGGAAAGUUUCGGCGGUUGGGGAUGGACUCGCGGCUUAUCAGCUUGUUGGUGGGGUAGUGGCUUACCAAGGCUUUGACGGGUAGCCGGCCUGAGAGGGUGACCGGCCACAUUGGGACUGAGAUACGGCCCAGACUCCUACGGGAGGCAGCAGUGGGGAAUAUUGCACAAUGGGCGGAAGCCUGAUGCAGCAACGCCGCGUGCGGGAUGACGGCCUUCGGGUUGUAAACCGCUUUCGCCUGUGACGAAGCGUGAGUGACGGUAAUGGGUAAAGAAGCACCGGCUAACUACGUGCCAGCAGCCGCGGUGAUACGUAGGGUGCGAGCGUUGUCCGGAUUUAUUGGGCGUAAAGGGCUCGUAGGUGGUUGAUCGCGUCGGAAGUGUAAUCUUGGGGCUUAACCCUGAGCGUGCUUUCGAUACGGGUUGACUUGAGGAAGGUAGGGGAGAAUGGAAUUCCUGGUGGAGCGGUGGAAUGCGCAGAUAUCAGGAGGAACACCAGUGGCGAAGGCGGUUCUCUGGGCCUUUCCUGACGCUGAGGAGCGAAAGCGUGGGGAGCGAACAGGCUUAGAUACCCUGGUAGUCCACGCUGUAAACGGUGGGUACUAGGUGUGGGGUCCAUUCCACGGGUUCCGUGCCGUAGCUAACGCUUUAAGUACCCCGCCUGGGGAGUACGGCCGCAAGGCUAAAACUCAAAGGAAUUGACGGGGCCCCGCACAAGCGGCGGAGCAUGCGGAUUAAUUCGAUGCAACGCGUAGAACCUUACCUGGGUUUGACAUGGAUCGGGAGUGCUCAGAGAUGGGUGUGCCUCUUUUGGGGUCGGUUCACAGGUGGUGCAUGGCUGUCGUCAGCUCGUGUCGUGAGAUGUUGGGUUAAGUCCCGCAACGAGCGCAACCCUUGUUCACUGUUGCCAGCACGUUAUGGUGGGGACUCAGUGGAGACCGCCGGGGUCAACUCGGAGGAAGGUGGGGAUGACGUCAAGUCAUCAUGCCCCUUAUGUCCAGGGCUUCACGCAUGCUACAAUGGCUGGUACAGAGAGUGGCGAGCCUGUGAGGGUGAGCGAAUCUCGGAAAGCCGGUCUCAGUUCGGAUUGGGGUCUGCAACUCGACCUCAUGAAGUCGGAGUCGCUAGUAAUCGCAGAUCAGCAACGCUGCGGUGAAUACGUUCCCGGGGCUU